GACGAACGCUGGCGGCGUGCUUAACACAUGCAAGUCGAACGGCAAGGGCCUGCUUUCGUGGGCUUCUUGAGUGGCGAACGGGACCGUCACACGUGAGUAACCUGCCCUCGACGUUGGGACCACACCUGGAAACUGGGGCUAAUACCCGCUCGGUGCUCCUGCUGCUUGGUGGGGGUUGGAACUUAUCGGCGGCUGGGGUUGGACUCGCGGGUUAUCAGCUUGUUGGUGGGGAAGUGGCUUACCAAGGCUUUGAGGGGUAGCCGGCCUGAGAGGGUGACCGGCCACAUUGGGACUGAGAGACGGCCCAGACUCCUACGGGAGGCAGCAGUGGGGAAUAUUGCACAAUGGGCGGAAGCCUGAUGAAGCAACGCCGCGUGCGGGAUGACGACCUUCGGGUUGUAACCCGCUUUCGCCUGUGACCAAGCCUGAGUGACGGUAACGGGUAAAGAAGCACCGGCUAACUACGUG
rnacentral:rRNA from 1 species